UACGUAGGGUGCAAGCGUUGUCCGGAAUUAUUGGGCGUAAAGAGCUCGUAGGCGGUUUGUCGCGUCUGCUGUGAAAACCCGAGGCUCAACCUCGGGCCUGCAGUGGGUACGGGCAGACUAGAGUGCGGUAGGGGAGAUUGGAAUUCCUGGUGUAGCGGUGAAAUGCGCAGAUAUCAGGAAGAACACCCGUGGCGAAGGCGGCUCUCUAGUACGGUACUGACGCUGAGACGCGAAAGCGUGGGGAGCGAACAGG
rnacentral:rRNA from 1 species